AACUUUCAGCAACGGAUCUCUUGGCUCUCGCAUCGAUGAAGAACGCAGCGAAAUGCGAUAAGUAAUGUGAAUUGCAGAAUUCAGUGAAUCAUCGAAUCUUUGAACGCACCUUGCGCUCCUUGGUAUUCCGAGGAGUAUGCCUGUUUGAGUGUCA
rnacentral:rRNA from 1 species